UUUCACCUUCAAACAGUUCACCUGACGUUGUAACAUUUUACCUACCUCUCGAUUGGUAUAGUUUAAACCACAAAAAUAAGGUACAUAGUCCUCAAAUGGGGUAUCAUAAACUAGUCCGGGAUCAUUUGCCCUCGAUGGAUUAACAUGUCCUGCACCAACUGCAAAGAUGUAAGCAGGAAUGAGCCUUUCGUCUAGUAUUGGACUAUUGGCAAGGUUUAACGUGUCAGCGGUUGUCAUGAUUGCAGACUUAAUAACAGCAGGAGACCAAUCAGGAUGUGAGCUCUUCAGCAGAGCUGCUACGCCACUAAGGUGAGGGCAAGACAUUGAGGUGCCUGAUAUAAUAUUGAAUGUGGAUUUGGUGUUUUUGUUGUCAUCCAUAGAAGUAUGCCAAGCAGCAAGGAUAUUAACACCAGGACCGAUUAUGUCAGGUUUCAAGAUUCCAG